UUGUCUCAAAGAUUAAGCCAUGCAUGUCUCAGUACAAGCCAAAUUAAGGUGAAACCGCGAAAGGCUCAUUAAAUCAGUUAUGGUUCCUUAGAUCGUACCCACAUUUACUUGGAUAACUGUGGUAAUUCUAGAGCUAAUACAUGCAAACAGAGCUCCGACCGGAGACGGAAGGAGCGCUUUUAUUAGAUCAAAACCAAUCGGUGGCGGCUUGUCCGUCAUCGUACAACUUGGUGACUCUGAAUAACUUUACGCUGAUCGCACGGUCUUGCACCGGCGACGCAUCUUUCAAAUGUCUGCCUUAUCAACUGUCGAUGGUAGGUUCUGCGCCUACCAUGGUUGUAACGGGUAACGGGGAAUCAGGGUUCGAUUCCGGAGAGGGAGCCUGAGAAACGGCUACCACAUCCAAGGAAGGCAGCAGGCGCGCAAAUUACCCACUCCCGGCACGGGGAGGUAGUGACGAAAAAUAACGAUACGGGACUCAUCCGAGGCCCCGUAAUCGGAAUGAGUACACUCUAAACCCUUUAACGAGGAUCAAUUGGAGGGCAAGUCUGGUGCCAGCAGCCGCGGUAAUUCCAGCUCCAAUAGCGUAUAUUAAAGUUGUUGCGGUUAAAAAGCUCGUAGUCGAAUCUGUGUCCCGCGCCGCCGGUUCAUCGUUCGCGGUGUUAACUGGCGUGCCGCGGGACGUCCUGCCGGUGGGCUUAGCUCGCAAGGGCGGCCCAACUCAAUCCCGCCGCGGUGCUCUUCAUUGAGUGUCGAGGUGGGCCGGCACGUUUACUUUGAACAAAUUAGAGUGCUUAAAGCAGGCUAAAACUUUGCCUGAAUACUGUGUGCAUGGAAUAAUGGAAUAGGACCUCGGUUCUAUUUUGUUGGUUUUCGGAACCCCGAGGUAAUGAUUAAUAGGAACGGAUGGGGGCAUUCGUAUUGCGACGUUAGAGGUGAAAUUCUUGGAUCGUCCGCAAGACGGACAG
rnacentral:rRNA from 1 species